rnacentral:rRNA from 1 species
UACGGAAGGGGCAAGCGUUGUUCGGAAUCAUUGGGCGUAAAGGGCGCGUAGGUGGUUCUGUAUGUCUACCGUGAAAGCGUACGGCUCAACCGUAUUUUGUCGGUAGAAACUGCAGGACUUGAGGCUGGGAGGGGCUGGUGGAAUUCCCUGUGUAGCGGUGAAAUGCGUAGAGAUGGGGGAGAACACUCGUGGCGAAGGCGGCCAGCUAGACCAGUUCUGACACUGAGGCGCGACAGCGUGGGGAGCAACAGG